UAAAAUUUAACAUGUGUUAUAGCAUGGAUGAUGAUCUAGUGUACUACUAAUAAGCGUUUUUGUUUACCAUACCAUUUGACAUUUAUGACAAACGAAAGUCAAAGUCAUGUGUUAUAAAAUAUAUUUUUUUUUCAAAAAAAAAAGAAAAAAAAAAUUCAUGUGUUAUUACUUCAAAGCUCAAAAUUAAUUUAUUUAUGUUUAAGAGUUUUCUGUUAAUCGAUCUGCUAAAAUUUCUACAAAAAAAUUAUUUCAAAUAUUGAUUUUAUGAUUUUGGAUCCUAUAUCUUAAUAUGUGCAUGUUCUCAAGUUGAUGAGGAACUUACUAUCUUCC
rnacentral:lncRNA from 1 species